rnacentral:rRNA from 1 species
AGUUUUUUACCUUGGCCGGAAGGUCUGGGUAAUCUUUUGAAAAUUUUUCGUGCUGGGGAUAGAGCAUUAUAAUUAUUGUUCUUCAACGAGGAAUUCCUAGUAAGCGCAAGUCAUCACCUUUCGUUGAUUACGUCCCUGCCCUUUGUACACACCUCCCGUCGCUACUACCGAUUGAAUGGGUUAGAAGGCUUUCGG